rnacentral:ncRNA from 1 species
GUGGUUAAAUCCCAAAGCUCAACUUUGGAUCAGCCACUAAAACUACUAAGCUAGAGAUUGGGAGAGGCAAGCGGAAUUGCCGGUGUAGGGGUAAAAUCCGUUGAUAUCGGCAAGAACACCAAAUGCAAAGGCAGCUUGCUAGAACAUUUCUGACGCUGGUGCACGAAAGCGUGGGGAUCAAAGAGGAUUAGAUACCCUCGUAGUCCACGCCGUAAACAAUGGACACUAGACAUUGGGAGUAUCGACCCUUUCAGUGUCGUUUAAAAAAGCUAACGCGUUAAGUGUCCCGCCUGGGUAGUACGGCCGCAAGGCUAAAACUCAAAGGAAUUGACGGGGACCCGCACAAGCGGUGGAGCAUGUGGUUCAAUUCGACAGUAAGCGAGAAACCUCACCAGGUCUUGACAUCCCUGGGAUCCCGGGUAAUGCUGGGAGUGCCGCAAGGAACCAGGAGACAGGUGCUGCAUGGUUGUCGUCAGCUCGUGUCGUGAGAUGUACGGUUAAGUCCGGAAACGAGCGCAACCCUUGUCCUAUGUUAAAUAUGUCAUAGGAGACUGCCAGCUUUAAGCUGGAGGAAGGAGAGGAUGACGUCAAAUCAGCAUGGCUCUUACGAUCUGGGCCACACACGUGCUACAAUGGCCAGUACAAUGGGACGCCAAGCCGCAAGGCGGAGCAAAUCCCACCAAAACUGGUCUCAGUUCGGAUUGAGGUCUGAAACUCGACCUCAUGAAGCUGGAAUCGCUAGUAACCGCGUAUCAGCUAUGGCGCGGUGAAUACGUUCUCGGGUCUUGUACACACCGCCCGUCACUUCAAGGGAGCCGGCAGUACCCGAAUAUCGCUGUAGGGCGAUAGAAGGUAAGGUCGGUGACAGGGAAGAAGUCGUAACAAGGCAUCCGUAGCGGAAGCUGUGGAUGGACCAUCUCCUUU